GCAGCAAUACCUGAGGUGGAGCAAAACUUCAAAAUGGUCUCAGUUCGGACUGUAGGCNGCAACUCGCCUACACGAAGUUGGAAUUGCUAGUAAUCGUGGAUCAGCAUGCCACGGUGAAUACGUUCCCGGGUCUUGUACACACCGCCCGUCACACCAUGGGAGGUCGGAAUGCCCGAAGUCAGUGACCCAACCGAAAGGGGGGAGCUGCCGAAGGCAGGCCUGGUAACUGGGGUGAAGUCGUAACAAGGUACC
rnacentral:rRNA from 1 species